rnacentral:rRNA from 1 species
GAUGAACGCUGGCGGCGUGCCUAAUACAUGCAAGUCGAGCGAACGGACGAGAAGCUUGCUUCUCUGAUGUUAGCGGCGGACGGGUGAGUAACACGUGGAUAACCUACCUAUAAGACUGGGAUAACUUCGGGAAACCGUAGCUAAUACCGGAUAAUAUUUUGAGCCGCAUGGUUCAAAAGUGAAAGACGGUCUUGCUGUCACUUAUAGAUGGAUCCGCGCUGCAUUAGCUAGUUGGUAAGGUAACGGCUUACCAAGGCAACGAUGCAUAGCCGACCUGAGAGGGUGAUCGGCCACACUGGAACUGAGACACGGUCCAGACUCCUACGGGAGGCAGCAGUAGGGAAUCUUCCGCAAUAGGCGAAAGCCUGACGGAGCAACGCCGCGUGAGUGAUGAAGGUCUUCGGAUCGUAAAACUCUGUUAUUAGGGAAGAACAUAUGUGUAAGUAACUGUGCACAUCUUGACGGUACCUAAUCAGAAAGCCACGGCUAACUACGU